AGAUUGUUCUGGAUUGUAUUGA
rnacentral:miRNA from 1 species